rnacentral:misc_RNA from 1 species
AAGUACAAGGCUCUAUGAAGAGUGAAAAAGAGUGUGGGGAAUACCAAAUCGCGAUUACAGAGCUUGAUUUUAUCGAAAAAACCAGAGAGGGCAGAGUCAUCAUUUUGAGGAGAUUCCGGUACUCGGAAAACGUCAUCCCAGGUGAAGCUAUUGCCGGCGGAAAUGGAAAAUGAACGCAAUUGUCGCCGGCGCCGGGAAGGGCAAAAUGGGGAUUUAAGGCUCAAAAUGGUAGGGGCAAUUG